rnacentral:tRNA from 1 species
GGCCGAGUACCCAAGUGGCUAAGGGGGAGCUCUGCAAAAGCUCUAUUCAUGGGUUCGAUUCCCAUCUCGGCCUCCG